ensembl:lncRNA
AAAAUAGCUGCUUGGAAGUGCUUUUCUGGCAAGUUUAAGAUCUAUGCCCACUCACAGAGAGCCUCUAUUAACUGCUUCUCUUGGACUCCAAGUACAGUUUUCCUUCCUGUUUCUUUGCCCAGCUCAAUGCUUUGGAUAUCUAUCACAGCAGCUCUGGAGUCUGUCCACCACCACCACCUCACCCCUGCUGGAAGCUGUUGCUGCUAAAAUUUUGUUUGUAUAGCAAUCUGCCUAGACUAAAUCUGAAAUCUGUUUCCUGCUUGGUAUUUAGCUGAUGCUUCUGCUCAAGUUUUUUGUUUGUUUUUUUUAUUCCUGGUUCUUACUUUUAAAGUCCAGAUCCUAAGAAUCAGCCCUGUGUCUGCACAGCUUAGUAGUCAGCCAAACACUUGUCCACUACAAAUUGGCAUUUGCCAUUGGCCCUUGCUAUCUACCUCUAUAAGAAUUAAAUCAUGUAUUUCCAUGAUGAUUUUCAACACCCUCUGAAAGGAGUUCAGGGUGGAGAGCAGAAAUGAGGCACUCGGUGCUCUGAAAAAAAUUGGCAAAACAGGUCUUCAGAUANNNNNNNNNNNNNNNNNNNNNNNNNNNNNNNNNNNNNGUAUCUCCUCAUAUCUAGAAAAGCACUAAAAUCCUUCAUGGUGACAACUGCUCCUCAUAAUGAACAGAAAACUUCUGCAAAAAAUAAGAUGCUUGAUUGCAUGUAUUCCUCCUUCACCAAAAUUACAUAUAUACUGACCUUCCCCCUACUUCUUUGGAGCAGUUUUUCAGAGCUAUCCGAAAUGUGGUCUCCCAAACUGUAGUCUUCAUUUUACCCCCAAUAAAACUUAACUUGAAACUCUCACAUUGUGUAUUUGUUUUAAUCAGCACAUUGUUCAGAGAUUUGUCUGUUGACAGGGCAUUCAAUAUUCAGCAGUAUUUAAAUCCAUCUGGCUUUUAUAUUCUGCCAUAGCCCCUUGUGUUUCCUCUGUAUGUGCACACAGGUUUAUGGUCAGCUAGGGAUGAGUAGGCAGCUUGAGCCCUCUUUGGUCUCUCCUGAGUAGAUUUGUGGAAAGCUUAUAAAACCGUCUUAUGACUGUCUUAUUUCCCAGAUCUCCAUAUCUGGCUUAGUCUUCUGGUUCAAGCUUGCCCCAAACCAGGAAACAACCUCCAUCCAGCUGAGCCAGUGGUGUUCACAUUCAUUUGCCAAGAUCACUACUGGUACCGACUGGACAUGGAAUUUUUCUCUGCUUUGCUGCAAAUCAAGUCAAUCUCCUUUCUAUCAAUCAACCUGCUGGUUUUCUCACACUGUCUUUCCCCGCUAGACUGAGUUGGGGUGGAAAACAGCAGCAACUCCAGGCAAAGGCUAUCAACUAUUUCAGUCUAUUUUAGCAACAUGAAAUAACAGAAGAAAGAGGGGUUACAUGAAAUAGAUUACAACAUCUGCAGAAUAAGGUCAAUUUUUAAGAUUCUCUAUUUUUUACUGUCUCUCAUAUACUCUGUAAGAAUAAGAAAAGUGGUUUUUUUUCUUUCAAGUAUUAAAAUUAACUCCAAAGGGUAAAAUGGAGAAACAUGAA